rnacentral:rRNA from 1 species
UACGUGGGGGGCAAGCGUUGUCCGGAAUCAUUGGGCGUAAAGCGCGUGUAGGCGGCUCGGUAAGUCCGCUCUGAAAGUCCGGGGCUCAACCCCGGGAGGCGGGUGGAUACUGUCGAGCUCGAGUCCGGAAGAGGCGAGUGGAAUUCCUGGUGUAGCGGUGAAAUGCGCAGAUAUCAGGAGGAACACCGAUGGCGAAGGCAGCUCGCUGGGACGUGACUGACGCUGAGACGCGAAAGCGUGGGGAGCAAACAGG